GUGUUCUCUCAGAAAUCCGGCUGGUGCAGUGGGGACCAGACCAGGUGAAGCCCACGGAGUCUGCCAGGCUCACUUGUGCUGUCUACGGUACCUCUGUUGAUGGCAACAACUGGAGCUGGAUCCGGCAGCCUCCUGGAAGGGGGCUGGAGUGGUUGGGAGUGAUCUGGAGUAGUGGAGGAACUGGCUACAGCUCGGGUAUCAAAGACCGAAUCCGCAUCACCAGAGACAGCUCUAAAGGCCAGGUCUAUUUGCAGCUGAACAACAUGAAAGCUGCAGACACCGCCACGUAUUACUGCGCUAGACGGCACAGUGAUACAGCGCAACAGAGCGCUCAUGCAAAAAUCCUUCCUGCCCAGUCAGCUCACACCCUGCCACCCAUGCCCGACACCCUGAGCAAGCCUGUCUAG